rnacentral:rRNA from 1 species
CAAUAGCGUAUAUUAAAGUUGUUGCGGUUAAAAGCUCGUAGUUGGAUUUCUGGUUGGUACGGACGGUCCCGAGUCAUCGGCGAACUGUGUGUGCCGACCUUCCUCUCGGGGGCUGCGUGGUGCUUCACUGUGCUGCGUGGAAUUCGAGACCUUUACUUUGAAAAAUUAGAGUGUUCAAAGCAAGCUAAAGCUCUGAAUACAUUAGCAUGGAAUAACGCGAGAGGACUCGGUCCUUAUUUUGUUGGUCUUCAAGGAUGGAGUAAUGAUUAAGAGGGACAGUUGGGGGCAUUCGUAUUUCAUUGCUAGAGGUGAAAUUCUUGGAUUUAUGAAAGACGAACUUCUGCGAAAGCAUUUGCCAAGGAUGUUUUCAUUGAUCAAGAACGAAAGUUGGGGGCUCGAAGACGAUUAGAUACCAU